UACGAAGGGGGCUAGCGUUGUUCGGAAUUACUGGGCGUAAAGCGUGCGCAGGCGGCUUCUCAAGUCAGGGGUGAAAGCCCAGAGCUCAACUCUGGAAUUGCCUUUGAAACGGGAUUGCUUGAGUCCGAGAGAGGAUGGCGGAAUUCCUAGUGUAGAGGUGAAAUUCGUAGAUAUUAGGAAGAACACCGGUGGCGAAGGCGGCCAUCUGGCUCGGUACUGACGCUCAGGCGCGAAAGCGUGGGGAGCAAACAGG
rnacentral:rRNA from 1 species